GAGUGUAGCUUAGUGGUAUAGCACUUGUUUAGCAUGCACAAGGCCCAGGGUUUGAUCCCCAGCACUACCCA
rnacentral:tRNA from 1 species